UACGUAGGGGGCAAGCGUUGUCCGGAUUUAUUGGGCGUAAAGAGCGUGUAGGCGGCCAGACAGGUCCGUUGUGAAAACUAGAGGCUUAACCUCUAGACGUCGAUGGAAACCGUCUGGCUAGAGUCCGGAAGAGGAGAAUGGAAUUCCUGGUGUAGCGGUGAAAUGCGCAGAUAUCAGGAAGAACACCCGUGGCUAAGGCGGUUCUCUAGUACGGUACUGACGCUGAGGCGCGAAAGCUAGGGGAGCAAACGGG
rnacentral:rRNA from 1 species